UGGGAACACAUUCGAUUGGCGCCAUGAAAGCCAUAAAAAGCAAACGCACAGUGCUCGGAGGCAAGCGUCCAUGCCAAAGCUCGUCAAGGAACAACAAGCAACAAGAACACACAAGGAAAAUUGGGUCAAAGCAGCCACCAGCCAAACAUUUGGCAGCCUGAGCAUAAAAGUGACGUAGAGGGAGAGAGAUAGAGUAUCUGUGGACGAUGUACUGGGAUAUUAUAAAAAUCGAAUUAUAUGCAAAAUCAAUUUACUGAACUGUUGGCUGCCCGCAAAUGACAUCAUAAGCGAGCGCUGCUCAACCCUUCAAUUUGCAGCAUCCUCAUUUUCAGAGCAGAGAAGAGGGGCAGCAGGGCAGAGGAGCCUGCCACAAUUUCUCCAUGUCAUAUAUCCUUAUAAAAUUGCUGACAUCAUUUGCACAGCAGUUGUCGAGUGCCGCUGUGUUUUCUAUGAAAGUUUCUCGCUUCAAUUUCCGGUGCGGGGAUACAUGAUAUUAUGUGCCCCGUGCACCUACAUUUAAAUAAAAUUUAUGCCGCCUGCACACAAUGCCGCUUGGGUUGUGGUAUUUGUGCUGAGGGGGCGCAGCCGGCUGUUCCAUUUACCAACUCGGAUUCGGGUCAUACAAAGUUGUUUUGCAAAUUUAAUAACAAUUUGCAUAAAUUUACAAGGCUAAUGCUGCAAAAUGGUUUCGCAGGCGGAAUAUGGACGUGGGACGUGGGUUAUAAAUCGCAGUGGAGCUCUACUUACAUCUCUCAGUCGAAGGCGUUAUCUUUUAGAUCUGUCAUAAGUACA